GACGGAGGGUGCGAGCGUUGUUCGGAAUUAUUGGGCGUAAAGCGUGCGUAGGCGGCUAUUUAAGUCUGGUGUUAAAGCUAGGGGCUCAACCCCUGUGAUGCACUGGAAACUGGAUAGCUUGAGUACGGUAGGGGAAGGUGGAAUUCCGAGUGUAGCGGUGAAAUGCGUAGAUAUUCGGAAGAACACCGGUGGCGAAGGCGACCUUCUGGGCCGUCACUGACGCUGAGGCACGAAAGCGUGGGGAGCAAACGGG
rnacentral:rRNA from 1 species